UUGGAGCUGCUGUGGAUGGACAGGGUGACUCAGUAGUACCUGAAGGUAUUGGAGCUGCCGUGGAUGGACAGGGUGACUCAGUAGUACCUGAAGGUAUUGGAGCUGCCGUGGAUGGACAGGGUGACUCAGUAGUACCUGAAGGUAUUGGAGCUGCCGUGGAUGGACAGGGUGACUCAGUAGUACCUGAAGGUAUUGGAGCUGCUGUGGAUGGACAGGGUGACUCAGUAGUACCUGAAGGUAUUGGAGCUGCCGUGGAUGGACAGGGUGACUCAGUAGUACCUGAAGGUAUUGGAGCUGCCGUGGAUGGACAGGGUGACUCAGUAGUACCUGAAGGUAUUGGAGCUGCUGUGGAUGGACAGGGUGACUCAGUAGUACCUGAAGGUAUUGGAGCUGCUGUGGCUGGACAGGGUGACUCAGUAGUACCUGAAGGUAUUGGAGCUGCUGUGGCUGGACAGGGUGACUCAGUAGUACCUGAAGGUAUUGGAGCUGCUGUGGCUGGACAGGGUGACUCAGUAGUACCUGAAGGUAUUGGAGCUGCUGUGGAUGGACAGGGUGACUCAGUAGUACCUGAAGGUAUUGGAGCUGCUGUGGAUGGACAGGGUGACUCAGUAGUACCUGAAGGUAUUGGAGCUGCCGUGGAUGGACAGGGUGACUCAGUAGUACCUGAAGGUAUUGGAGCUGCCGUGGAUGGACAGGGUGACUCAGUAGUACCUGAAGGUAUUGGAGCUGCCGUGGAUGGACAGGGUGACUCAGUAGUACCUGAAGGUAUUGGAGCUGCUGUGGAUGGACAGGGUGACUCAGUAGUA